UUAGGAGCACGUCAUAUUAGAAUCACAUACUACAUUCACAUAUGAAUAUACGAUUAUUUCAUUUCAAAUCUAAUUAGUAGGUGGUAAUUGUGAAUAUUUUCAGUUUGACAAGAAACAGAGGAAAAUGUUUGUCUACAGAUUACUUAGAGAAGAUGAAAAUUACACAUUAGGCCUGUCUGCAAAAGAUCAUGCAUCUCCUGUAUCUGUCUUUCAGCAUGUUCUAAACGGAAGUUGGGGAAGCAUGUCGAAAUAUAUCUCAACAUGUGGAGAUCGAAAUGUAUUACAAAAUUGUUUUGUGUUAAAUUCAGUCAAGCCUGGACAAGUAGUGAUGAUAAAUACAAAUAUGCUUCAACCAAAUCAAAUUAUUGAUUUACGGCAACAGUUUCAACGGGAUCCGUUUAUACCUCCCUUUGCUGAUCAAGAGUCCAAAAACAAAUUCAAUAAUUUUGCAAACAAAUUCCAAGAAGUUCUUUUGGAAGGUUACAUUCCAUCGAUUUGUAUCCAGCCUGCUUAGCAGUUAUAAUCAUCUGCAGUUUUCAUACUUAUAAAAAUAUUACUCUUUACAUUCAUAACUGUACAGAAAUUGUUAACUGUCACAUAUUUAUGAGUAUUAUUUAAUACAUACAUGUGUAUGACGUGAUCUAUUGCAACUUUCAUUUGGACCUCGGUUUUCAUUACUUCUCAGUAACCAUUAGCUUUCAAAGUGUGAUUCACAAUUGACACCACUCAUUCAUUACUAAAACAGUGAGAAUUGCAAAUAAACUGUGUAUUUUUGCAUAUGAUGCCUUUCAUAAUGAAAUGAAUUAUGUGAUUUGACUGUAUGACUACUUAUUGCGUAUAUUGUGUCUAUUCCAGAAUCAAUUUAAUUGAUUUAGUCAUACAUUGAAAGAGAGUUGAUGCAGAUUUGCUUCGCUUUAUUUAUGUUAUUAUUGCUUUUUAUUUGGGAAAAGUUUUGUAAGCUCAUUUACAAUAUCACAAGACAACACAUAGGUUUCCAUCAGAGUCAACAGUGCUAGUUUUCGUGAAAAAGGAGGCAACGCUUUUGGAAUUUGUGAUAUCUUAUUAAUUUUUGUAUAUUGUGUAUUGAUUAAAACUAUCGAGCUUUUUGGGGCUUUAGUAUACAAGGAUUUAAUAAAAAUAAUAACUUUACAUCAAAAGUAAUUAAAAUUUUGCUGUACAUGACAAAAAAUGACAAAAUUACAAAAAGUUUGUUUGAGCAAUUUUGCAAGAUACUUGUAUUAAUAUGUUUUUUAAUGAUUUAAUACUACAGUGAUUUGUGCAUUAUGAAGCCAGUAUAUAAACAGUUUGUGCUACCGUAAAUAUUUUAAAUUCAAAUUUAUGUAUUUUUGUUACUUUAAAUUGUUAGAAAUGUUCUUCAAUUGACGCCUGAUGUUGUGCGUGAAGAAACGACCGAAAACGUCUCAUGCAAAAUUCCACACAUUGUUCAAAUUAAUUUACUUAACAAAUAAAUAGUCUAUAAAAUAAUUUGCUCGCAUCUUAGUUUCAAACUUAUCACGAAAUAUUAAUGUUGACAAAUAAACCAAAAAAAUUAAACCAUUGUUAUAGAAACCCUGCCGACCAGAUGUGUACAAAUUACAAUAAUUCUAUUCUCAACAUGUGUAAAAUCAAUUUCUAUUAUCUAUAUCUAUAUCUGAGAAACGGACAAAGCUAUAAACACUUAACCGUAACCAAUGAAUCAUACAAUGAGGUAAAGAUCAGAUCAACCUUGCUAAUCGGACAGGAAAACCUAUCAAUCAUUCUAUAAAUCAAAAAACGUUGAUAUAUUGCUUAUAUAAUCUUUGAAAAGGACCUUACACGAAAACUAAACCUUGGUCAAUAAACCAUGAAAUAAAAUCAAGGUAAGACGAUUAACGAAGUAAUAAUUCAAAAAUUCCAAGAUAAAUGAUAUACUUUUUUAAGAAGUAACUGAACUAUGCAAAUACGGUCACGGACACCAGAAAUCUUAUAGAUGGAAACUACAGAUCGUUACGUGGUCUUUAUGAGAACAAAACUUAUCAGAAUUUUGUCAUAUAAUGUUUUCGUAUUCUACUAUUUUUUAAACAAACUUCAAAAGCAUCCUCGACUUAUUUUAUUUUAAUAUGAUUGUUUAAGAAUUCUUAUUUAUAUUAUAAUAUAUCAAUUUUUCAUGUUUUAAAAAUCCAAAACUAUUUAAUUUAUAACUUCCAUACUAUUUUAUACACACAUUUUGUCGUCUGUAUAUUUAAUUUUUAUGUGAAACUAAUUUUUGUGAUAUUAUUUAUUAACUAGAUUAAUAUUUAUUUCUGUUGUCUGUUUCCUAUGAUUUGUAAAAUCUGUGUUUUUAAAAAUAAACUAUUGAAUUUAA